rnacentral:lncRNA from 1 species
AUGUGCGUCGGGGUCAGAGCGCGCAUUGUUUACACCGCGGAGCAGCUGAUCGCGCUGCGCAGCGCCGUAGUUCUGCCCAGAGACAGACACGAGAUCACCGCUGAGGUGCUGGUGAAGACUCGACGUGGGCGCCGCCCCGGAAAACUACGACGGGAGAAAACGAGACGCUUCAGGCCCGCUGUCCCCGCCGUCAUCAUGGGGAACGUGAGAUCUCUCCCCAACAAGAUGGACGAGCUCGCGGCGCUCACACGGUACCAGCCGGAGUACAGAACGAGCAGCGUCCUGCUGUUCACGGAGACCUGGCUGACGUCACUCAUCCCGGACUCGACUGUCGCACUGGACAAUUUUCAUCUGCUGCGUGCGGACAGAACGGAGAACAGCGGUAAGAGGAAGGGAGGGGGUCUGGCUGUGUUUGUGAACAUCAGGUGGUGUAUGCCAGGACAUUGCACUGUCAAAAUGAAGCUGUGUUACAGAGACAUUGAGCCGUUAGCGGUGGGCAUGAGGCCAUUCUACCUGCCAAGGGAGUUCACACACGUUAUAAUAAUUGCUGUGUACGUCCCACCCUCCGCUAACGCUGACACAGCUUCUGAGACCCUGCUCUCAGUCACCAGCAGGCUGCAAACACAGCACCCACAGGCCCUCUUCCUGAUCUCUGGGGACUUUAACCAUGCACCUCCUUCAGCUGCUCUGCCUACAUACACCCAGUAUGUGACCUGCCCCACCAGAGACAAUAAAACACUAGACUUAUUCUAUGCCAACACCAAAGAGGCCUACGCUGCAUCCUCCCUCCCACCGCUGGGCAGAGCUGACCACAACAUCCUGCAUCUCCUGUCUGUGUAUAAACCUGUUGUACACAGGCAGCCGGUGGUGCCCCGCACAGUGAAGAGGUGGACAGCUGAGAGCGAGGAGGCUCUCAGGGACUGUUUUAACACCACUGUGUGGACGGAGCUCUGCGACCCACAUGGGGAGGACAUUAACGCAAUAACAGACUGUGUAACGGACUACAUCAACUUCUGCUGUGAAAACACUGUUCCCACCAGGCGGGUUCGGUGUUUCACAAACAGCAAGCCAUGGGUCACCCCUGAUAUUAAAGCUCUGCUAAAGGAGAAGAAGAGAGCAUUUAAAUCAGGGGACAGGGAGGAGCUGAGGAGGGUGCAGAAGGAGCUGAGGAGGAAAAUCCGUGAGGGGAAGUCCAGCUACAGGAGGAAGAUGGAGGAGCAGCUGCAGCAGAACAAUGUCAGUGAGGUGUGGAGGAGCCUGAAAACCAUCUCAGGCUUCAAAGCUCCACACCCACAGGCUGAGGGGGACCUGAGCUGGGUCAACGAGCUGAACUCACACUUUAAUAGGUUUGACCAAGCACCCACUCACACCUCCCAGCAGCUGCCUCCGAACCUCUUGUCACCUCAUACCACUGGAUUACCAGCCCCCACUGUCAGUAACGGCAUAUAA